AAAUCAUGAUUUGGAAACCGCUGCAAAUACUCCUUGAAUCUCUCCUAAGACUCAUAUAAUUGCUCCCCCGGAAGCUGUUUGAACUCAUAGAUUUUAUCACGGAUCUU